rnacentral:lncRNA from 1 species
GACCCCAGCUCUGGGGGUGAUUUUUCUUGACUAGAAACAGGGAGCACUGUGGCCUACAAAGCAGUCAAGACUGACAGGGGAAGACAUGCCUGUAGAAUAAAAGAAUCUAAGAACAUAAAAUCAAAAAUAAAUUUUUUCGAGUGAUUGACUUUUGAAGUCUGUCCUUAGCAUAAGAGAAAGGUCCACGGUCAUUACUCUGCAGUAGUAGCCUCGCUAUAGUGUUAGCUGCAAGGUGAAUUUAAAGAAAGCAAGUUUGUAAGUUGUAGGAGACUUUUCAUUUAGUUCUGCAAUUACAAGGCGCUAUCCUGGGG